CCAAAAUCAUUCUAAAUCACAUUAAAAGUCUACACAAUUAUAAAUCUCAUUAGAAUUCUAAUUAAUCUAUAAUCCUUUCUAAAACAAAUCUCUAAUUAAUCCUAAAACAAAAUUCAAUUAAUCCAAUCCAGCACGGGCCUAGAACUAUCAGGCCCACACAGGGGGGUAUGGACAGCAAAGUGGAGUGUAUGCUCCCAACAAGGCCAUUGGGCCUAGGGCCAUAAGCCCCGAAUACUGGAUAUGAGGAAAGGAUCCUCAGUCAAUACACGAUGCACUCAUCUUCUAGUAUUCAAACUAUACGAUCGGCCAAAAAACAACCUCCGCCGCGACGGAAACGUCUCCCGCAACGGUGGAGGGCUAGCUAGCACAAGCCAAUCGCCUCAACGUCACCUAAACAUUCUACACCUGAUGAAAUGCAACCUAGAUCUACAGCCUGAGGCAUGAUGGAAUGAGAAAUCUACUUGUCGAAGAUGACGACGGAGUUGGCGACGACGACAAAGGAAUCCGCUGGCACUGUUAAAUCCCCCUUCUCUUUCCUCUUCGCUUUGUCCGUUCGGUGACCGUGAUGGCGUGAUUUGUCGCUUGGAUCAGAUUUCUUGUAUGGUUGGUAGCGAUUUAAUGAAGAUUGCGAUCGAAGUUCGUUACAGUUGGGAAGAAGGAAAAAAUUCUGGGAAAGAAAGAAUUCCCGCGCGAACCGAAGUUACGCUCUAAUAUCCUUUAUUUAUAGAAUUUCUUGGAAUGAAUUGGUGAAUCCUUUCAAUUGUGUUUAGAUUUUAGAUUCAUCCUCCUUCUGCAUUUUGCGUUUCCUAUGCCAUUUUGAGGUAGCUCGCAUUUUAAUAUAAUGCUAUUUGUUUUGGUUUUCUUGGAGUCGUUUUGGUUUAUGCAUUUUUGGCUUAUUUGCACGUUGCUUGUGUUGGCUUCGGUUUUGUGCGGUAGCUGGUUUGGUUCGCUGCAGCUGUUAGGCUUAACACGUUGUCGUUUUGCUUUGUGUUUCGUUCGUAUCAGCCGCGUUUGCAUUUGUUUUGUAGGUGGCUUAUGCUCAGCUAUGUACAGUUGUGGUUUUUGGAUUAUGCAGCUUCGGGAUAGCAGCUCCAACCUGCAUUUUGCUUUUUCGAUUGUAGCUGCUAUGCAUACUUGUUGUGCGUUUUUCGCAGCGGCGUUAAGUUUUGCUUGGGUGUUUUGCUGCGUUUGAACAGUUGGUUCGCAGCAUUUGUGGCUUGUGCAAGUUUGUGGAGCGUUGUACUUGGCUUGGCUUGGUGAAGUACCGUUGCGUUGGAUGGUUCAUGGAUGAUGCCGUUUUGGCUUUUUCAUUUAAGUCGUUUCCAUUUUGUUUUCGUUAGCUUUGGACUCAUGUGGCUUAUCAGCAGCUUUUUGAAGCUCUUCAACUUGCAUUUAUUUAUUAUUAUUUCUGUUUUUAAGGAAAAUGGAUAAUGGGAUAAAAUGUAGAAUAAAAAUGGAUUAAAUUGGUUUGGAUAAUUAUGGUUUAUAAAUUGGACAUGUAUUUGGUUAAUUGGAUAACGACUUUAUGAGAUAAAGAAAUUGGAUACGAAAUGGAUUCUGGCUAA
rnacentral:lncRNA from 1 species